rnacentral:rRNA from 1 species
AAUACUAGAGUUUGAUCCUGGCUCAGAUUGAACGCUGGCGGCAUGCCUAACACGUGCAAGUCGAACGGUAGCAGUGCUAGCGAAAGCUAGUAGCUGACGAGUGGCGAACGGGUGAGUAACACGUAAGAAUCAACCUAAUAGAGGGGGAUAACGCGGGGAAACUCGUGCUAAUACCGCAUAGAAUCUACGGAUUAAAGUAUGGGACUUGAAAAGGCCAUACGCUAAUAGAUGAGCUUGCGUCAGAUUAGCUAGUUGGUGGGGUAAAGGCCUACCAAGGCGAAGAUCUGUAACUGGUCUGAGAGGACGAACAGUCACACUGGAACUGAGAGACGGUCCAGACUCCUACGGGAGGCAGCAGUGGGGAAUAUUGGACAAUGGGGGAAACCCUGAUCCAGCAAUGCCGCGUGUGUGAAGAAGGCCUUCGGGUUGUAAAGCACUUUCGGUUGGGAGGAUGGUUAUAUUUUAAAUAGAGAGAUAAUCAGACGUUACCGACAGAAGAAGCACCGGCUAACUCUGUGCCAGCAGCCGCGGUAAUACAGAGGGUGCGAGCGUUAAUCGGAAUUACUGGGCGUAAAGAGUGCGCAGGUUGUUGUUUAAGUAUGGUGUGAAAUGCCUGGGCUUAACCUAGGAAUUGCAUUAUAGACUGGACGACUAGAGUAUUGUAGAGGAUAGCGGAAUUCCCCGGUGUAGCGGUGAAAUGCGUAGAUAUUGGGAGGAACAUUCAGUUGCCAAGGCGGCUAUCUGGACCAAUACUGACACUGAGGCACGAAAGCGUGGGUAGCGAACCGGAUAGAUACCCUGGUAGCCCACGCCCGUAACGAUGGAUCCUACUGUACUCAUGAAUGGUUUAGUAGCGAGCAAACGCGAUAAAUAUUUCGCCUGGGGAGUCCGGCCCG